UACGUAGGGUGCGAGCGUUGUCCGGAAUUAUUGGGCGUAAAGGGCUCGUAGGCGGUCUGUCGCGUCGGGAGUGAAAACUCAGGGCUUAACCCUGAGCCUGCUUCCGAUACGGGCAGACUAGAGGUAUGCAGGGGAGAACGGAAUUCCUGGUGUAGCGGUGGAAUGCGCAGAUAUCAGGAGGAACACCAGCGGCGAAGGCGCUGCUCUGGGCCGGUACUGACGCUGAGGAGCGAAAGCGUGGGGAGCGAACAGG
rnacentral:rRNA from 1 species